GCCCCUCCCCUGUUCAUGCUCUGUCUCUGUCUCAAGAAUAAAUAGACAUUAAAAAAAAAAAAAGACGCUCUGAGAAGCAGAAGCUGUGAGGUGGGGAACAGCUGCAAAGAGCAGAGGUAACCAGGAGCCACUCGGUGGUGAGAAAUGACAGGAAGGCACCGAAGGAAGCCAAAUCAUGUCAGUGGUGGCCCAUGAGCUGGAAGAGAUACAAACUCUGCCUUGAGGGCUGCUGCAGAUCCAGGACCGACCCCAGGGUGCCGCUCCUCCCCUGAUGCCAGGCUGCUUGGCUUUCCUGGGUUCUUGCAUCCAUGUAGCUGUCAAAAAAACCCCAUGAUGAGAGGAAGCACUGGUCAGUUUCAGUCUUCAUGCAAACAACAGAUACAUUAGCCUCACUAGCUAGCUUCCUAGCAAGCUGGAGAAUGAAGGUCAGUGGACGUCCACGCGUGCACAUACGAACACGCGUACACAUGCGUGCACACACGUGCAUGAAUAUACACACAUUUACAGACUUGGUCGCGAUCCGGAAGUGCUGUAAGUGUGGGGCGGGGGAGCCGUGAUGGGGCAUGGACAGGAUCAGCAAGGCAAGCAAGGCUCCCUGGCCGGAUAGUCCAGUUGGAAGAACAAAUGGGUCAUGGCCGGAGAAACUGCUAAUUUUAGUUUCCUUCAGGAUGUAGAUGUCAUUUAAAGUCAAACUAUUUCCUCAUACUUGUGCCCAGCAAAUGAUUUACUGGGGAAUGCUAACGCUGUUCUCUGUGUCCCAGCAGUGUGAUGGUGUCCCAGAGCAGGGGACAUGUGGCCAGAAGGGCGGCAGCUCAGUGGGCAGUGUUUCUCUCGGCUGUCCUGAGACCCUCCACUGUGGCGGACUGCUCUUCACUGUAGUUCUUCAAAUACCUUGGAUAUGUGUCGUCUCUACAUACCCUUUUGGCCCCCACCACCUGCGGUUCGUUGCCCAUGGGGGUUUGUGUUCGUGUUGGCAAGUUGAAAGCUUUCUUUGCUUCCCUGAACCUUGGGGCUGGGCUCAGGAGUCCCUGCUGGGGCACUCUGUGCUGUGGGACCUCUGGCAAACUGUGACCAUGUCUGAGCCUCGAUUUCUCCAUCUGUAAAAUGGGAACAAAGACAUCCGAGGAUUGGUAUUAUGUUCUCCUUGUAAGGAUUUUGCUUUAUAGUUUCUACUGGCUCUAUCACAGUCCCAACCCCAACACAAUUAGCAUACUGACGAGCAGAUAGGAGCAGCUCAAUCGAUAGUUGUUGAACGUGGUUCAUUGUUGUUGUCAUCUUCACAGAUUCCUUAUUAGUGUCCAUCUGGUGCUGCAUAGAGAGCUCUCCCACCCUGCGAUGCUGACAUAUGAAUAUGGAUGCACACAUGACCAUGGGAAGGCAUCAGAAAGUUAGGUAACUCGCCAGUAGAGAAUACACAUCAGUUACACCUAAAGGUUAAGUGCAUUCUGGAGGUCAGAAAAAGCGAUGAGUGAAUAAUUGAGGUAAGAAAGUAGCUUGCGGGAACCACUUUAAGACAGAUUGAUGCAGGGUGGGGCAGGGGAAACUGCUUAUGUGAUUAAUCUAAGACCUUCCAGAGGAAGUGGGCCUUCAGGAGCAGAUGGAUUGGAGAAAGGGACAGGCUUGGUGAAGAGGUGGCCAGGGAACAUUCCAGGCACAUGAGUGUUGUUUCCGCAGGCUGAGGUGCUGAGAUGCCCUUAGGGUGGUUCACUCCUUUGGACUCCUUGGAGUGGCUAGAGGUAUGUGUUUCUGUGUGUGUGUGUGCGUGCUCACGUGUGUGCCUGUGUGUGUGUGUGCGUGUGUGCAGCAGACAAGGAGGAGGGCAGUGAGACUGUGAGGUGGGAGAAGAAAGAUUGAUGAGUGAGGAAGAAAGUGUGAGACUGAUCAACUCCAGGUGUGAGAUAUUUCAGAGGAACCUCAUCAAGAGCUAUCUUUAUGUCUAAUAAAGAUGUCCCAGCUUCUGUGUUUGGAUUCAGAACCUGGACUUGGGGUGAGAUUAAAAUCAGAAGCAGGGAUAAGGCAGAGUAAAGAACCUGCGUGCAAAGAUCCAUACGAUGAUUUACAGAUCUUACUAGAAUUUGGCUGAGACCCAGCCAGUUGGCCUAGCACCUUUCCUUUUGAAGGUUUAUCAUUGAAAUUGAGCUUUUAUUUCCUUGCUGCUGUUGCAGAGCCUCAUCGUCAACCCCCCUUCAUUCCCAUUCAUUCUAGGCCUCAGAAGGGAGCAGUGUGAUCAGGCAGCCAUGUGACAUUGGUCUGCACUUCUGGAUGUGCACAUCCCCUGGAAGUUAGGAGGAGGACCGGCCUUCCCUCUGUCCAAGCCAAGAAUCCAGACAUGAUCUCAUCAGGGCCACUCCCUGGGGGGAAGCGGGAGGCAUAGGACUGUUUCAUCCCAUUUCCAGAUGGAGAAACCGAGGAAUGGGAGGAGUUUAAGGACCAGGCAAUGAGCUCGCUACAGAGCUGAGAAAAAAUUGGGCUCCUGCUCAGAGGGGCUGCCAUCCAGGACAGUGUGCACGUGCAUGUGUACGUGUGUGUGUGUGCGUGUGUGCGCGCGCGUGCUCCUCUCUGGUCCUCCUAAAUCUUCAAAAAGGACAUUGGAAGUGACAUAGUUUAAAAACAGACCCCAGUCCAUGAGAAAGAAUGUGUGGCAUUUGGAGAAUUACAUAAUCUUUAAAUUUAAUGUCCUGAUGUAUAAAAAGGGAAUAAUUGUAACACUUACCUCAUACCACCAUUGAGGUCACUAAUGGAUCUAAAUCUCAGGACCCAAUUUCUGACCCUAUCUGACCACAAUGCCCACUUGGUGGAUGUUCGUCUACCCGAGCUGAGCCCACUCUCGCUUACCCUGUUCAGGACGGAGUCAUGUCCUGGUUGGCCUAGACACCAGCUAAUCCAAUGUGGGUCUGUAUUCUGUUAGAUUUAUUUUCCUAAUUGUUUUAUCCAAGUGUGUAUGGGGGGAUGGAACUAGCUUUGAGUGACUACUAGGCGGGGCAAUUUUCUAGGUGCUCGAUAUAAAUGAUCUCAUUGAAUUCUGGUGGUCCUGUGAGGGGUGGUAUCAAGCCAAGGGUUUGCAUCCUCUUGGAAAUAUUUUACCUGGGUAUUCCUGGAUGCUGAAUGGUAGAAGGAGGCAAGACUGAUGUUUUCAGAAUGCAAAUCGAAAUGAUCAGGAAGCCAAGUGUGAGACCACACUCCCUCUCUCAGCUUCAGGUACUCUUCAACAAGACCUGUGGUCCUGGUGGUCAUUGGUGGAGACUGAUUGCACGCCUCUUGAAGCUGUCUCUCCCAUGGCUUCAGUCCUUUCUGGUUCUCCUUCAACUUCAGUCCUUCCUCUUGGUCUCCUGGUGGUGGGGCGGGGCAGCUUUUCUUCUGCGUGCUUCUUACAAGUUAGCUUCCCUAAGGAUUUGCCCUCAGCUCUUUCCUCUCUUCGGGUUGACUGUGCACCUGCAGACAUACCCCUUCCAGUGCCAACCCCCAAAUCAGUUCCCGGAGCUCCAGACUAAACCAGGCAAUUGACAGCUACCUUCCAGAAUUUCCAGACACAUCCAAUUCUAGGUGUUCAGAACUGAGCUCACCUUCUUUCUUCCCGAUCGGCUCCUCUUCGUUUCGGGUCUGACAGAUGACGUCACGGUCAUGCUAACCUGCUUCCUUUACCCUCCGCACCCCGUCUAACCAAGUCCUGUAAAUUCCCUUCCUUCCCAUCUCCUCUUCCGUGCCAUUUUCAUCCUCAGUUAUGCCCUGGUUUUUUUGUUUUCGUUUUUUUGCUCAACGUUCAACGUCUGCCCCCUUUACCAGAGAAAUCCUUUCAAAUCUGUAAAAUUGACUGAUGUCGCUCUGGCUUCUAUCACCUUUGGGAUGAAGGCCAAGCCCUCCAUUAUCUGACCCAGUUUGCCCCCUCCAGCUUCUUCUCUGGCCGUGGCCCCCACCUUCUGUUUCUCCCGGGGGGGGGGGGGGAGGGACUGGAACAUCUCCAGUCCGUGCUAUCCUGUCUGGAAGGCCUGUUUCCCACUCACUUAUCUGGCAAACGUCACAGCCCGAGGGUCGCUUCUCUGGCGAAGCCCUUCCUGUGCCCCCACUUCUGCGUCUGCGUGGCCAUGGCCUCGACACACACUCAGCUACCACGACUUGUCCAGCUUCCCCAACCAGCCCGAAGCCCUCUCGAGGGAGCGAUUACGUCCCGCUCGCCUGUCUACCGUGGUGUUCAGCGCGUAGCGGAGGUGCAAGCAGUGUUUGCGGAAUGAAUGAUGAGAGGAGGUGACGGAGGUCAGAUCCACGCCUCGGCACGCAGACCUGAGGGGUGGCGAGCGCUACUUCCCCCCGCUAGAGGGCACUCUCGCCGUGCGCUUCGCUGGGAGCCGGGCGGGUGUGGCUCCGCCUCCGACGGCCUCGCCGGCCCCGCUUGGCUCUGCAGUGUGGCCUCAGCGCGUCUUGGAGUCUACAUCUGGGAACCAAAAGCAUGAGAGAGAGAGACAGAAAGAGACAGAGACACAGACAGAGACAGACAGAUGAUGGAUGCUUCCAGAGAUCCUCUCAACUUGGCUGGGAGCUUCUUUGUCCAUGCUGUAAGACGGGCAUCUUGAGGAACACGCAAGGAAAGGAGAAUGAAGGCAUCUCACACGCAAGAUGGUCCAGAUGCCCCCUGGAAGAGGCAUCUUCGUCUUCAACAGAUUGAGGACAGUUGGCUGCCAUUCACUGCUUGCGAAGGAAAUAGAUUUGGAACCGGAUCAAUCCCAUCCUCGACUCUGCCAUCCUUCUGUCAGAAUUAUAAACAGAAGAUGAUUACAGCACAUCCUGCAUGUGCCUUCCAUGUGGCUCCAGUCUCGGCCUCACAAACGCAGCGAGGCCAGUUGCUCCAUAUGUAGAUGAGAUUUGGUGUGUCUGUGGGAGGAGAAGCAGCUGAUUUCGGAUUCAAGCGAGAGCUCUGCAUAGUGUUGAUUUUGCCUUCACCAAAGCUGUCAACAAAAGGGCCUGUGAGGCAAGGGCAGACUCCUUCUGAAGACAAAUCUGGAGGAUGAGAUACUAUGUGAAGAGAACCCUCAGCCAUUCCAGCCAUCCCAUCUGACACCAUAGACAUAUGAGUGAGAUUCUAGACAGUGGCUGUUGAGCCACUAGUGAAAUGUGGCUAGUAUGAAUUGAAAUGUAUUGUUGUUUUUUUAAGUUUUUAUUUAUUUAUUUUGAGAGAGAG